AAUGCACAGUCAAUCACAGACAGACAUGACAUUACACGUCGUAACUUUCAUAAGUUACUUAAAAAGUUUAACAACGGACAUUGGGGAUAACAAAUAAUUUCAGCUGAAGUUUUCAUGUACCUGGUCAACUAGGUGCUCUUGACAGUAGAAAUGAAAUGGUUUAAUCCAAUAAUGCGAGCUCACAACCUAUGUCUUCUGAAGAAAAGUCAUUUCUGUUGCAGUUGUUAAUCUUCAAGAUAUUAAUGCCUUCACCAGAUCCAAUUCUUUGUUGCUGAUGAGAGAGAGAAUUCAUCAUUUUGUGUGCAACAGUUCUUUCUGCAUCUAGUUUAACUGGUCGUUCCUUGAUGGUGGUGUCGUGUUACCAAAUUUGCAUCAUCAAUCAUCAUAUAUUGUUAAAUUGUCAUUGUAUCUGUGCAUAGUUAUCGUUUAAAAGUUAAGAAGCAACAAAAACAAAUAUGGGAUGUUCAUGUCAAACAAAUAAUAAACAUGUUUUCGGGAUUGGGAAAGGAAAGUGGAGGAUGUUGGAGGGAGGGGUGAUUUAAGUUUGGAUAAAAAAUCAGUUAAUCCAUAACCCCACAAACAUAUCCCUACCAAUUAAUCUUCAAACUCCACAAACUUAAACCUUCCAAUUCUUCAAACCCCACAAACAAACACCUUUCAAUCCCCAAAUUUAUACCCUAAACCACAUAAACCAAUAUUAAGCCCAAUCAAUGUAAUGUCAAUAAUGAAUAAAAAAACUUGUAUUUUAAA
rnacentral:lncRNA from 1 species